UACGUAGGGGGCAAGCGUUGUCCGGAAUUAUUGGGCGUAAAGAGCUCGUAGGCGGCUCGUCGCGUCGACCGUGAAAACCCGCGGCUUAACUGCGGGCUUGCGGUUGAUACGGGCGGGCUAGAGUUCGGUAGGGGAGACUGGAAUUCCUGGUGUAGCGGUGAAAUGCGCAGAUAUCAGGAGGAACACCGGUGGCGAAGGCGGCAUCCUGGACCGGUAUUGACGCUGAGGCGCGAAAGCCAGGGGAGCAAACGGG
rnacentral:rRNA from 1 species